UGUCCAAAGGUACCUAUCGUCGAUAUGUCGUUUACGCUAGCGAAAACAACCACGGCCGUGGUUCCACCGUUAUAUUCACAGAAUAACGAAUAUUGGUCACUAAUCUUAUCUCUAAAAGUCUGAACUUGUUUAGACUUGAAAUACCUUGUUAUUACAUGCUUCACAAUUACCCGGAAUUCCAAACUUUUAAACUUGUAACAAUUUUUUGUAUUUUAAACAGUCUAAAGUGCUAUACAUGUAAUGGAUACUAUUAAAUUUGAAAAAGAGGACGUAAGUGAGGUGGACAAUAGUGAAGCCGAGACGGAAUCACCAUCUUUCAGUGAAGAAUCAGAAUCUAGUUACCAACAUUUAAGACAAACUGGCUUACAAAUUUGUACUGAAGAUUAUCCUGGGCAAUUUAAUUUUAAUUUUUAUUUAGAUGUUACAGAAAUGUCUAAAAGACAUUGGAUGUAUUCUGAAACUUUGAAUAAAGUAUACAUUGAUAUGAAUAGAGUACUGCCUAUUCAGUUCCAAUGGCAAUUUGAUGAUAUUGGAUUAGUAGGACUAAAAAGUCUUCAAAUUCGUGCUUUACCAAUAUUUGCAGACUCUGAAUUUCAGCAGUUAUCUGUCAAACGUUGCCCUAUACAUAUUAUGCAGGAUAAAUUAUGUGAUAGAAAAAAAAAGGAACAUAUACUUUGGUGUGAACAAAGUGAUGCCAUAUAUGAACAAAAUCACAUAAGUCAAAGGCAUAGUGUUAUUGCCAUUGUUCAUAAUUUUAUUCCUUGUUCAGAUUUUAAAACUUACAAUGUAUUAUAUAAAUUUAUGUGCAAAUCUAGUUGUAGUAUGAGUCUUAGUCGAAGACCCAUUUAUAUAAUUUUUACUUUAGAAACAUUAAAUGGACAAGUGUUAGGUAGAAAAAAAAUUGGUGUAAAAGUUUGUAGUUGUCCAAGGAGAGACAUGUUAAAAGAAGAAGAAAUAGAAAAAAAAAGAAUAGCAGGAGUAAAAAUUUUUAAAAAACGUACAUCAUUAACUGAUGAUAAUGAAAUUCCGGGAAAAAAACUGAAAACUAAUAAUGAUAAUACUGAAGAUAAAAUUUAUGAACUACCACCAUUACCUAUUCUAGGAAAAAGGUUAUAUUUAAGCACUUUAGAAUUAUUACAUGGUCAUUUUUUGGGUAGUGCUGUUCGAGAAGAUUGCUUAAUAGACUCACAUCCUUUGAUUAGCAUGCUUUCUGAUCUUAUAUCUCAAGUGAAAUCUGAAAAUAAUAAUCAUAAUAAAGCUGAGUCAGAAAACCCAUGAACACAAACAAAUUAAAAAUUAAAAAAAAAAAAAAAAACAUUGAUGUGAUAAUAAUGACAGCAUUAUAAAAGUGCAAACAAAUUAUGUUAUUCAAACUGACAAUACAAAAAUAAAGUGAUGUUACAAAAGAGAAAAUGAAGAUAAAAUAAUUGGUGAAACCCAAGCUGUUUGGAACCAAUCUGUAUUUUUGGAACUACCACAGCAAUAAUAAUGUUGUUGAAAUUGAUUCCAAAACAAUUGCCAAGCUCUAUUUGUGGAAUAUUUAUUGAGACUAGCAGUCAAAAUGUUUUCUACCUCUCCAGAAAUUAUUUGCAAAGUAAAUUGUAAAUUGGCACAAUAAGAAAUAAGUACUAUGGCUUCGACUGUAGUUAUCACAACAUAAGAUCUCAGUUUUAGAUUUUUCUUUGUUAAUGCCACUUUUCUGAAAAUUAAAAAAUAAUUGUUGAUUAUUCAAAAUGUAUACAUUUUACAAAUGAAAAUUUAGUUUUAAUAUAUAAUUGUGGGGAAUCUA